UUCAUUUUCAUUAUGUUUGUUUGUAAAAAUAUUGAUUAAAAAUUACCAAUCAAUUACUAUGAUGCAAGAAGUUAAAAAUUGCGGAACCAAAAUUACUGAUGCAAGAAGUUAAAAAUUGCGGAACCAAAAAAGGACAGCCCGACCUUCAACAAUGCAAAUAGGCCAUUUGAUAUUUCCCGUGGUAGCUGCUGCAAAAACAAACUUGCCAUUCCAAUCGCGGAAAACACAACCUAAUCCCAUAUCGCCUCUAUGGUUAAACCCUGCAUCAGUAUUAAAUUUCAGAACUCACCAAUGGGUGGUUGCUAUCCCACACAGAGUUUAACCACAGAGUUUCGAGAGAGGGGUAGCAAGAAUGGCAAGUUGGAAUGGCAAGUUGCUCUUCCUCCGAGAAGAUAGCUUCGAUCAUUUCUCGAUUCCAAGUCCGAGAGUUUUGGUCAAUCAAAAUGGAGACUUUGGCAUUUCAAUCAAAAGUUGGAGAGUAAGAAUGUUGCUGGAAGCCUUCGACACCUGGAACCCAUUUAUCCCGCCAGACGUUUCCCCCCAAAACAACAACAAAACUAUAUUCUCUUCUGUUCAUUAUAUUCCCUCAAACUUGCAUUAUCCAUUAAUUCCCAUACAUUUCUCCAAGAAUUGAAUUCCAUCUUGGGAAUUUUAUGUAGGGACGAGUUAUGAACAUAAUAAAAGUAUGUUAAAGCUAACUAUUAAUGGUUGUUUGGAUAGAUGAUUUUGAUGAGUGAUUUUAGGGGUAAUUUCGAUUUUUUUUUAAAAAAUCGUCUCAAAUCACCCGUUUGAGGCAUAAAAAAGAGAAAAGAUUUUUGAAGAUUUGAAAUCAUUGAGAGAAGUAGAGAUUUCGAAGAGAAAAUGAGAGAUUUGAGAAUGUUAACCAAAAUUAUCCUUUAUUUUUUUCAUAAUUGAUACGACAAUAAAUAAACUAAAGGUAUUUUCGUAUCUUUAUUUUUAUUUUUAUUAUUUUAUUUUUCUCUCUUUAUAAUAAUUGUAUUCAAAAUCACCCAUCCAAACAAUCUAUUCCGAAAACAACAAGUUUUUUUCAAAUCUCUAAUUAUUUCAAAUCUUUUCUAUUUCAAAUUACCUACCCAAACUAAGUGUAAAUAUCAUACAAAUAUAUUGGCAGGUGUUUUUUUAUCUACACAUGCAUGUUUAGGCUACUGGAAAGAACCUGGAAUAGGGUUUGAGGCUUUGAGCAUUGAGAAGUUCUCUGCAACCAUGAUAAAGAGUAAAGAAAAAGAAGCCACAACUAGAGAUUUUCAGGAAUUACUGAAAAAAACAGUGGAGAAAAAAGCAGGGGAGAAAGAAAGACUGGCAAACAGAAAAAGAAACUUAAAGGGCUUCUUCUCACUGUUACCAACAGCAUACCCCCUUUUCUCUUCGAUUUAUCGCACUCUCUGUCUCCAUGAAAAGAAGAGCUUACUUCUCUCCAAACCCACUAAACCCUACACGCCCAUUGCAUCCAUCUAGCUCCCUGCCUAUCAGCAAGCAGUCUAACCAUUAAUGGCUCCCUGAAAUAUUGUUGUUUGACUGUCAGAUAUUAUGUGGUAUUACAAUUACAACAGGAGAACAUAAUGGAAAGGAAGAACAGUGGAGAACAGAGGGAGAGAGACGGAGGACUAACAAACUCAAAAUCCUUACCUGAAGAGGAGGACAGGACAGCAAUGGCUCCCCUCAACUUACCCUUUUGGAUGAUGUUGUUGACUUUUUUUCCAUGGCUUCCACCAGUUACCUGCCAAUAUAUCAUCAUGCACAAUUGGAGCAUGAUUUCAAAGUGUCACACUUUUACUUUCAAAAAUCGUUAUAUGGUAAAUAAAACUACGGAAAUUGCUGACACAAUAGGAGACCAAUUUCCUCGAGAUGGGCCUGAUUCCCUUUCCCCUUUGUUAUUCUUUUUUCAAACUUUAACCCUCAAUCCAUUAGUAAGUGAAAUGUGAAAUGAAGUUGGGGGUUCCAAUGAUUAUAUAUCCACACAAAUGAAGACUUCAUACAAAGAAAGACAGUACCAGACCAGUGUCUUUCUUCACUCUCUCAAUACACACAACACAACAUGUAUUGAGAGAGCUAAAGGGAAGCCAGAAAAACCCCCACAAUCUCUCAACAAUGUUGCAAAUCACCAGCAUUGUCCUGGUUUUGCUCCUUAGCUCCUUCACAGAACUCGGAUGGGCAAUGCAGCUCAACCUCACUUUCCCAUCUCCUCACCCUGACCCAGAGUUCGUAGCUCAAGAAGUUCAAAGGUAAAGUAAGAAAAAAGAAAGCAAAAAUCUAUCACCUUUUUGGCUGCACAAACUUCAAACUCUUGUUCAUUCAUGGUGUUUUGCAGGAGAGUGAAUGCUUCAAUCUCAAGAAGGAAGACCCUCCAGAUAUCCCAGAAAGACGAAUCCGCUUGCUUCACUGGGAACCCAAUCGACGACUGCUGG
rnacentral:lncRNA from 1 species